rnacentral:rRNA from 1 species
UACGUAGGGACCAAGCGUUGUUCGGAUUUACUGGGCGUAAAGGGCGCGUAGGCGGCUUGACAAGUCACUUGUGAAAUCUCCGGGCUUAACUCGGAACGGCCAAGUGAAACUGUCAUGCUAGAGUGCAGAAGGGGCAAUCGGAAUUCUUGGUGUAGCGGUGAAAUGCGUAGAUAUCAGGAGGAACACCAGUGGCGAAGGCGCCGCUCUGGGCCGAGACUGACGCUGAAGAGCGAAAGCGUGGGUAGCAAACAGG